UACGUAGGGGUCGAGCGUUGUCCGGACUUACUGGGCGUAAAGCGUGGGUAGGUGGAUGGCGAUGUGCCGUGUGAAAGCCCCGCGUUCAUCGGGGGGAGGUCGCGGUAGACACGCCAUCUGGAGGCAUACAGAGGGCGGUGGAAUUCCCGGUGUAGUGGUGAAAUGCGUAGAUAUCGGGAGGAACACCAGUGGCGCAAGCGGCCGCCUGGGUAUGACCUGACACUGAGCCACGACGGCGUGGGGAGCAAACGGG
rnacentral:rRNA from 1 species